UGGGGAAUAUUGGACAAUGGGGGAAACCCUGAUCCAGCAAUGCCGCGUGAGUGAAGAAGGCCUUAGGGUUGUAAAGCUCUUUCGCCCGCGAAGAUAAUGACGGUAGCGGGAGAAGAAGCCCCGGCUAACUCCGUGCCAGCAGCCGCGGUAAUACGGAGGGGGCUAGCGUUGUUCGGAAUUACUGGGCGUAAAGCGUACGUAGGCGGAUGCGCAAGUUGGGGGUGAAAUCCCGGGGCUUAACGUCGGAAUUGCCCUCAAAACUGCACGUCUUGAGACCGAGAGAGGUAAGGGGAAUUCCUAGUGUAGAGGUGAAAUUCGUAGAUAUUAGGAAGAACACCAGUGGCGAAGGCGCCUUACUGGCUCGGUACUGACGCUGAGGUACGAAAGCGUGGGGAGCAAACA
rnacentral:rRNA from 1 species